CGCCUAAAAUUCAACGGGGCUCAAGUCACGCGCCGAAGCUACGGGUACUCCCAUUUCGAGGAGUGCGGUAGGCGAGCAUUGUCUGUACGGUGAAGACGUACGGUAACGAGCGUUGGAGAGCAGACAAGAGCUGAUGUUGGCGUGAGUAGCGAUAAAGAGAGUGAAAAACUCUCUCGCCGUAAACCCAAGGGUUCCUGGGUAAAGAUAAUCUGCUCAGGGUUAGUCGGUCCCUAAGCCGAGGCCGAAAGGCGUAGGCGAUGGGAAGCAGGCGAACAUUCCUGCACCGGCACGGAUGGUUUCACGAGGAGGGACGGAGGAGGAUAGUCGAGCGUCCAUGAGGAUUGGGUGUUCAAGCCAGUAGGCUGGAGAUGUAGGAGGCAAUGGCCACAAACGCAUCUUCGAGGCCGAGAGGUGAUGAGGCGGGCUCUCCGGAGCCUCCAACUCGAUAAUUCCACGCUUCCAGGAAAAGCUUCGCGUGAAAUUAUCGAGGCGGGCUCUCCGGAGCCUCCAACUCGAUAAUUCCACGCUUCCAGGAAAAGCUUCGCGUG
rnacentral:rRNA from 1 species